CAGAUAUGUCUCUUGUUUCAACCGUGUUUGGACAAAACAGACCCAGGGAUGCCCCUUCAACCAGCCAAAGACCACCCUCCAACCUUUUUUCCAGUCGCAACCUUGGGAGCCAUCUUCUUGGCCACCUGCUGACUACAGGACCAAACAACAGCAAAUUUAAUGCUUACCUCAAAUCAACCAUGAGCUCGCAGAUUCAUCAGAAUUAUUCCACCAAGGCAGAGGCCGCCAUCAACCACCCAGUCAACGUGCAUCUGUGGGCCUCCUACAGCUACCUCUCUCUGGGCUUCUAUUUCCACCGUGACAACGUGGCUCUGGAGGGUGUGGGCCAUUUCUUCCACAAGUUGACUGAGGAGAAGUGCGAGGGUGCCCAGCAUCUCUUGAAGAUGCAAAACCAGAGUGGUGGCCACACCCUCUUCCAGGAUGUCCAGAAACCAUUCCAAGAUGAGUGGGGGAAAACCCUGGAUGCCACGGAAGCUGUACUGGUUCUGGAGAAGAGCCUGAAUGAGGCCCUUCUGGAUCUGCUUACCCUGGGUCCUGCCCGCACAGACCCCCAUCUCUGUGACUUCCUGGAGAACCACUUCCUAGAUGAGGAGGUGAAACUCAUCAAGAAGGUGGGCGACCACCUGAUGAACCUCCACCAGCCCCCAGACUGGGCUGGGCCAGUAUUUCUACUAGAGGCUCACUCUCAAGCAUGA